GACGAACGCUGGCGGCGUGCCUAAUACAUGCAAGUCGAACGAAGCUUUUUUAACUGGUGCUUGCACCGACUUAAACAACUGAGUGGCGAACGGGUGAGUAACACGUGGGUAACCUGCCCCAAAGCGGGGGAUAACAUUUGGAAACAGAUGCUAAUACCGCAUAACCACAGAAACCACAUGGUUUCUGUGUCAAAGAUGGUUUCGGCUAUCACUUUGGGAUGGACCCGCGGCGUAUUAGCUAGUUGGUAAGGUAAUGGCUUACCAAGGCAAUGAUACGUAGCCGAACUGAGAGGUUGAUCGGCCACAUUGGGACUGAGACACGGCCCAAACUCCUACGGGAGGCAGCAGUAGGGAAUCGUCCACAAUGGACGAAAGUCUGAUGGAGCAACGCCGCGUGAGUGAAGAGGGUUUUCGGAUCGUAAAACUCUGUUGUCAGAGAAGAACGUGUGCGAGAGUAACUGUUCGUGCAGUGACGGUAUCUGGCCAGAAAGCCACGGCUAACUACGUGCCAGCAGCCGCAGUAA
rnacentral:rRNA from 1 species